CCACUAUUGAUUGUUCAUAAUUAUUUCCCAUUCAUAAACUGUCAAAAUGUCAAGUUGUCGUUAUAUACACAUACGUUAAACGAUUUGGUACGAACAGUGAGAAAAAAAUGUUGAUGCAAGUGUCGCAAAGCUCCUUGACAAUAGUCGCUUUUACUAAAAAAUAAAUCCCCCAAGCCAAAGAAUUAAAUUUCAAUUAGAGUCUUUAUUUACAAGAUUGAAACAGGAGCCAAUACUUAUGGAUAUGAUUCAUGCGUAACAGGACAAUGAGCGUCAACAGGACAGGAACCGGUAACAGUAUCUAGAGUAUGUCUGGAAUGUAUAUUCAAAGCUGCUUCUGAAUGUACAGUUACAAUCGGCUGUGACGAAUCUGUUUGCGGACCGUUUCCUGCAACGUGACGGUAUUGAACUGACGCUGGCAAACCUGCUCUCAACGACAACUCAAAAAAAUAUGCGUAUGCUCAAUGUGAAAAAAACUAUUCUUUUUACGCAGCUCGCACAGGACAGGGCUACAUAGCGAAAUUUAUUCAGGAUUCUAACUGCAGUGAAAAUGUCAAAUGCUGCGAUUUUCUUUGUAUACGUCGAUUCGGAGGAUGCAGUGCCAGUUUGAAUUCAAAAUGUCAUGACACUUGCAAGCUUUGCAUGCUGACUUUUAGUAAACGAUAACUAAAUACAUAAUAAUGCAGGAAUAUUUUAUUUUAUAGACUAUACUGCGUAUAAAUGUUUGUCUAUCUCGAUAAAUUAUAAAAACUAAUGUACCAAAAUUAUUUUAUUUGAAGAAAAAAGAGAAAGAAUGUAAGAGUGUAAGAAUUUUAUUCGAAAUACAUUCAGAAACGUUACAUUAAUACAUUGUCGAUGAUACUUAUUAGCUGUAAUCUAAAAGUAGUUUGUUGUUUUCUUAUGAAACGUUAGUAUUACUGUAAAUUUAUAUUACUGCUAUAAUAUAUUACUAUAAUAUGUUACUACAUUUUCAACAGAAUUAUUAUAUUUUGUUGUAUUCUAAAUUUAAAAUCCAGUUUUUGCCCCCCGUCUGAAAUUAAUAAUUCAUCUACCAAUUCCAUUCUCUCUUUUAGCAUUCUCCUCUGUUCAUCCAAAAUUUCAUACGAAUGUAUAUUAUUUAUUAAAAAAUUUAUCAACAAACGAAGGCUCUCUCUGAAAGUCUCCAAUUAUAUAAAAAAGAUUGAAAAUAAUUUCACGUGACGAUAUAAUUCCCGUACGAGGGAGACACUAUUCACAGGCACAUUUUUUCCUAGUAAGUUUCCAAUAUUGAUUGUCCAUAAUUAUUUCCCAUUUAUUAACUAUGUGUGAAGAUAACAAGUUGAGUUGUAUACAUGUACGUUAAAUGAUUUGAUACAAAUAUGCUAAAAUGGAAAAUAAGAAAAGGAAAAAAUGAAUACGAACUUACGGUGACGCGUAAGCAUAAAACGAUAUUAACAUCCAUUUGUGAAUAAAUUUCUCAAAUCAAAUCAAUUAACAAUUGAAAACACGCACCAAAAAAGAAAAAAAAAGAUAAUGAUAACGAUAUACAGGAUGUUUUAUGGUGCAUAUUGGGUUCGGAUGUUAUUGUUGAAUCAGACGUGGGGAAACGGUGGCUUGGCCUGCGAGAUCACCAGACCCAACACCCUUGGUCUUUUGUCUCUGUGAAAAUGUAAAAAGAAGUUGAAACAUCGAAUUUCGUAACGUUCGGAGAAAUAAAAAACUGUGACACGCAGGAAGGGAACGUGACGCAAAACCUAAUUAAAAAAUUACAACUUUGCGUACGAGAAAACGGACGUUUUGAACGAUAUCUUGACUGAAAAUAAUAAACUAAAUUCAACGAAA